rnacentral:rRNA from 1 species
UCGUGUCGUGAGAUUGUGGGUUAAGUCCCGUAACGAGCGCAACCCUUGUCCUUAGUUACCAGCACGUUAUGGUGGGCACUCUAAGGAGACUGCCGGUGACAAACCGGAGGAAGGUGGGGAUGACGUCAAGUCAUCAUGGCCCUUACGGCCUGGGCUACACACGUGCUACAAUGGUCGGUACAAAGGGUUGCCAAGCCGCGAGGUGGAGCUAAUCCCAUAAAACCGAUCGUAGUCCGGAUCGCAGUCUGCAACUCGACUGCGUGAAGUCGGAAUCGCUAGUAAUCGUGAAUCAGAAUGUCACGGUGAAUACGUUCCCGGGCCUU